rnacentral:rRNA from 1 species
GCUUACGGCCACACCGGCCUGAGUACGCCUGAUCUCGUCCGAUCUCGGAAGUAAGCAGGGUCGGCCUGGUUAGUACUUGGAUGGGAGACCGCCUGGGAAUACCAGGUGCUGUAAGCU